AAUCAACGCUGGCGGCGUGCCUCAGACAUGCAAGUCGAACGCGAAAGAAGGCUUCGGCCUUCGAGUAGAGUGGCGCACGGGUGAGUAACACGUAGGCAAUCUACCUCGAGGUGGGGAAUAACUCAGGGAAACCUGAGCUAAUACCGCAUAAUGCAGCGGCUCGGGAUCGAGACAGUUGUUAAAGCGUGGGAUCCUUCGGGACCACGCGCCUGGAGAGGAGCCUGCGGCGGAUUAGCUAGUUGGUGAGGUGACGGCUCACCAAGGCGAUGAUCCGUAG
rnacentral:rRNA from 1 species